AAGUCGUAACAAGGUUUCCGUAGGUGAACCUGCGGAAGGAUCAUUAUCGAAUUAAAAUUAAAGCAGGUUGUUGCUGGCUUGAAAGGCAUGUGCACGCUUGUUUUUUUCUUUAUUUCUCCCACUGUGCACAACUUGUAGACCUUUUUGAGGAUUGCUGUGCUUUAUUUAAGCCAGCUUUGCCUUGGCUUUUUUUAAGGGUCUAUGUUUUUUCACAAUCUCUGAAUGUAUUAGAAUGAUUAGAAUCUGGGGAAAUAUACAUACAACUUUCAGCAACGGAUCUCUUGGCUCUC
rnacentral:misc_RNA from 1 species